CUAAUAAUAAAAAAUAAUGCCCUUUAUGGAAUAAACAAUUAAUGAUGUUAUUAUUUUAAAUAAUAGUCAAAAAUAUUUAAGCGUGUAAAAAACUCUUUUUACUUGGCGUAAAUCCCAGAAAAGAACAAAUGUUUAUUAUUAUUGCAACAAGAGGAAAAUAAAAAACUAAAGGUGCUAGUUAUGCAGGAUAAAAGCGGAAAAUAAAAAAAUUAGCCUCUUCUAUACAAUGUGUGAUUUAUUUAAAUUAUAAAGUUUAAUUAAGCCGAUGAUGUCUAAAUGGUCUGGCAUGAACUAGUAAACGUAUGAAAUCUUGUCAAUGGGUUUUCAAUUGAAUUAUAUUAAACUUCCCUUUCAACUUCUUAACUGUUCAAAUCGCAACUAAAUAUAAAGACAAACAAUGUCACUCAAAUGCAAGUUGCCGAAGGUGCACUUCAUCAUGUACUUUCAGUAUAAUGCAAAUAAAUUGUUACUGAGGUGAACCUAGUAAGCAAAAAGAAAAAAACAAAAACCUCGGCAGCUGCAAAUCUCAACUUUGCUUCAUCCAACUCCUUCUGUACUCCUCUAACAGGAAUCCAAAUAGACUGCGUAAAUAACAAUAUGUUGGUCUAACAAAAGAUCGAAGUCAUGUUUUAUUGCUAAAUUAAAACAUGUUCACAUUUAUCAUUUAUUGAUUAAUACACAGUGAGGAAGAGAGUAAAAGAACCAGAGGUGAUGCCUUGUCAUAUUUAUUCAUUAUGUUUAUCCGUUUUCAUUGGUUGACGAUGUAUUUGCAUGUCUUAUAUAGUCAUUCAGGUUGUAGUUAUCGUAUCUUGUUCCCCCUCUCGCAUGUCCCCUCCCAAUCCUACAUAUUAAAUCUUUAUUUGUUACUAUGUUGCACAUAUAUCUACGUUUGUACAGAUUAAAUUACGUGAGUUUCCUGUCACAGCCUCGUCACUACCUCGUCGGGGUUAAGCUCCGCACUUACGGAGUACAUUGAGUCGAUUGUACUCAUACUAUACUUUGUACUUGUUGUGCAGAUUUGGGUACUGGUCCCAGUUGUACGUUAGGCGCAUCAGCUCGAAUUAUCACAUUUGGAGACUCGAGAUAAUUUGUUGGCGUCCGCAUACCUUAAAGCCCCUUCCUCUUUCCUCAUUUACUGUUUAUUUCAUUCGAAACAGUUGUAUUUAUGUCAGACUCUGUUUGUAGAACCUUUAGUAGCCCGUACACUUGUGACUCCACUUCUAGGAUUGUAUUUAGAUAUUUUUGGUUAUUUUACCUUUUCACAGAUCAUUCUAGUUUUAUUUGAGUUUAAAUAAGUUUUAAUUACUUGAAUUAUUUAAAAUGGCAUACAAUUUACUCUAACGUUGGCUUGCUUAGUGAGUGAAAUAUUAUGCGCCACCAUAGUCCCGAAGGUGGGAAUCCCGGGUCGUGAUAGAAAAUCUAUAUAUGUUUUGUAUAUAUAUACAUUAUAUAUAUUACAUACAAAAAUUAUACAAAUUUAAUAUAUUUUUCGGCUACCAAAUAUAAAUAGUUAAAAGUGAUAAUAUCCCAAUAUUGUGCUAACUAUUGUACCUGUAAUUUUCGCCUUUAUGGGUAUUGUUGUGUCUAACGCUGGGCCUUUAGAUUAUACUCCUUCCAUUUCAAUUUAUGUGAACUUAUUUGACUGCACAUGAUGUUUAAGAAAAACAAAAUUGAAUUUGUGGUGUAAAAUGAGGCACAUAUAUUUUAUCUCACUAUAAAUUAUUAUAUAUAAAGGUAAAUUAUUUUUCCAAUAUGGAAACAUAUCAUUCUUUUUUAUACCGAUUAAAAAGAAAAUACAUUUAAGUAAAUUAAAGUCGAGGAGUAUAUGACAGUCCAUUUUCGAAUUUAGUCAAAUUUCAACAGGGACACUAAAUAUCGAGCGAAAAACCUUUUUAAAUAAAAAAUACUAGCCUCUAUUCAUUUUCCACUUGUUACAUUUUUAGUUUGUGUUUUGUUUUGUUUUGUCCUUGCUGUUGCAACUUGCAAUAAAGUCUAGGUCGACAUAUCUUGUCUUGUAGUCUAUUAAUCUUGUAGUACUGUAUUGACUUUUAUUUGUUCAAUAAGCACAAAUUAAGUAAUAUUAAAGUGUCCAAUAAGUGCAAGCCUAUUAGUGGAAAUGUCAAAAGCCGUUCAUGUAAAUUUGCUUUACUGUGCACGGAGUUUAAGAAAAAAUAAAAACUUUUUGAAUUUGUAAUCUUAAACAAUUCAAAAAGGCCCCAGAGUAUUUGUGUGGUUAUAAAAGGUUCUCAUUAAUGGUAGAAUUGUAAGUUUAAGUAAAAUUAUUUACAAAUUUAGAAAAAUAUCAUUCUUUUUUUAACAGACCAAAAAGAAAAUAGGUUCACGUAAACUGGAACGGAGGAAGUAAUGAUAUGCAAUAAAUAAAUAAAUAAAUAAAGUUUAAAAUAUUAUACUUGAGUCGAGACACAUAAAUAAAUAAAUAAAUAAAGUUUCUUUCACUAUCCAUCUUAUCCUUUCAUCGAUAGAAGUUAGUAAUAGCAUUAUUCUCAUAUUAGCCGAAUUAUGGUUGUUUGUCUCCAUAUAUGGUCAUAGACUCUCGAGAUAAUUCAUAUUUCAAGACUAGCUACUUUCUAGAGCUGAAUUAAGUUUAAAAUUUAUUUCUUCGUUUGAGCGUGCGGGGGUGUUAAGCAGGGGCUAAGAAAGAGCAUUAGUCGCGAAUUCGAACGAACUAGGAUUAAACCUUGUGUUUGUAUUAGUAAAUACAUAAAAUUUGUAUAAAUAUUAAAUUAUAAAUCUAAUAACUAAGAUAAACUAUGCGUUCGUGAUAAAUUGAGAAUCUAUAAACUUCAAAUCAUAACUCCGUCUCAACGUUAAGGUGUCCCACAUUUGUUGAGGGAUGGGUUGUUAUAUGGUCUUGGGCAAGAGUUGGUGUCACUCGGCCACCAAUUAUCUACAUUUGGCCCAUUGUUUCCCGUUAAAACAAUUCUCCCCAAGUUGAUCUAUUUGUCAAGUGGCCAUGUGACGACCUUGUUUUUGUUUUUUCUAGAAAAUUCCUAGGAAACCCGCAGCAGUAGUAAACUCGCAGCCGCUACCUUUCGGGUGCGCACGGGAUAACUAGCUUAUUGUGCAAUUACUCGCAAAUUAUAUAUGAGAAAAGACUGCUGAUGAGGAAAAUCGAUCUCAGAUCUUUCACAUGGAAACCACUCACCCAACAAAUCAAUCAACCUUGGCUGGCGUGACUUCACAGUAGGUCUUUGUGAAGUGUUUCUUUUUGUCAUUUUUCUCCCUUGUUUAGAACAAGUUGUUCUGACAGUUGCACGAGACAUUAUUAAGUUCUAUAAAUAGGGGAGAAACAUUGUUUUCCUUUUUACAGUAAAAAACUGAAACUCCAAAUAGCUCAUCAAAAUGUUUUCCAAAACUAACCUUUUUCUUUGCCUUUCUUUGGCUAUUUUGCUAAUUGUAAUAUCCUCACAAGCUGAUGCAAGGGAGAUGUCUAAGGCGGCUGUUCCAAUCUAUUAUUACUCCAGUAGUUAUUUUCAUUUUUGACAUUUUGAGUCUGCAAACGAAUGCUAUAAAUGUUUAAAUAUUCAUGAAUUUCAAUUUUAUGAUCUUAAAUAUGUCAUAAUAUCUUAUACAGAAGUCUUAUUAAUGAAAAAAAUCGGAAUUUCGGAAUUAAAAAGUUAUUAAAUGUUGGUGGCAUUCUUUGUUGAAGCGGAUUUAAAAGGAAAGUAAAACACAUGAUAGAAACGAAGGGAGUAAAUCUUCACAU
rnacentral:lncRNA from 1 species